rnacentral:rRNA from 1 species
GAUGAACGCUGGCGGCGUGCUUAACACAUGCAAGUCGAACGAUGAAGCCCAGCUUGCUGGGUGGAUUAGUGGCGAACGGGUGAGUAACACGUGAGUAACCUGCCCUUGACUCUGGGAUAAGCCCGGGAAACUGGGUCUAAUACCGGAUAGGAGCGCCUGUCGCACGACGGGUGUUGGAAAGAUUUUUCGGUCAUGGAUGGACUCGCGGCCUAUCAGCUUGUUGGUGAGGUAAUGGCUCACCAAGGCGACGACGGGUAGCCGGCCUGAGAGGGUGACCGGCCACACUGGGACUGAGACACGGCCCAGACUCCUACGGGAGGCAGCAGUGGGGAAUAUUGCACAAUGGGCGGAAGCCUGAUGCAGCGACGCCGCGUGAGGGAUGACGGCCUUCGGGUUGUAAACCUCUUUCAGUAGGGAAGAAGCGAAAGUGACGGUACCUGCAGAAGAAGCACCGGCUAACUACGUG